rnacentral:rRNA from 1 species
AGUGAACGCUGGCGGUAGGCCUAACACAUGCAAGUCGAACGGCAGCACAGUAAGAGCUUGCUCUUACGGGUGGCGAGUGGCGGACGGGUGAGGAAUACAUCGGAAUCUACUUUUUCGUGGGGGAUAACGUAGGGAAACUUACGCUAAUACCGCAUACGACCUACGGGUGAAAGCAGGGGAUCUUCGGACCUUGCGCGAUUGAAUGAGCCGAUGUCGGAUUAGCUAGUUGGCGGGGUAAAGGCCCACCAAGGCGACGAUCCGUAGCUGGUCUGAGAGGAUGAUCAGCCACACUGGAACUGAGACACGGUCCAGACUCCUACGGGAGGCAGCAGUGGGGAAUAUUGGACAAUGGGCGCAAGCCUGAUCCAGCCAUGCCGCGUGAGUGAAGAAGGCCUUCGGGUUGUAAAGCCCUUUUGUUGGGAAAGAAAAACAGCAGGUUAAUACCCCGCUGUUCUGACGGUACCCAAAGAAUAAGCACCGGCUAACUUCGUG